rnacentral:rRNA from 1 species
CCUACGGGGGGCAGCAGUGGGGGAUAUUGCACAAUGGGGGGAACCCUGAUGCAGCGACGCCGCGUGGGCGAUGGAGUACUUCGGUAUGUAAACCGCUUUCAGCGGGGAAGAUAAUGACGGUACCUGCAGAAGAAGCCCCGGCUAACUACGUGCCAGCAGCCGCGGUAAUACGUAGGGGGCAAGCGUUAUCCGGAUUCAUUGGGCGUAAAGCGCGCGCAGGCGGGCCGCUAAGCGGGACCUCU